CCCACUUAUAACAUUGAGCAAAACUAGUAAUAUCUGUGAUCCCAUACAUGUGGAAGUGCUAUGGGCAGAUAUUGAAUCUAGUGGUGAAAUGUUUUGUCCUGCAGGAUCCUUUUGCCCAAGUACUAUACGGAGAGUUUCUUGUAACAUUGGGCCACCACUCCAGAAUUUAGAGCAUAUCAAGAGCAAGUGUUGAAGAAUUGUGCUACAUUCGUUAAGGGAAUUGAUGGAUCUAGAGUCAAGAAGGUGCUAAAGUCGGUACAUAUUGCAGCUAACAAUAGUUACGUUGUGGAUUUUAUUACUUUUGAAUUGUAUAACCCAACAAUUGUU